CAAUAGCGUAUAUUUAAGUUGUUGCAGUUAAAAAGCUCGUAGUUGGAUUUCGGGUGGGACGCAGCGGUCUCGCAUUGCGUUUGUACUGCUGCAGCCCUCCUUCUUGCCGGGGGCGGCCUCUCGGACUUCACUGUCUGGGGGUCAGAAUCGGCGAUGUUACUUUGAGUAAAUUAGAGUGUUCAAAGCAAGCUUACGCUCUGAAUAUAAUAGCAUGGGAUAACACGACAGGACUCUGGCCUAUCGUGUUGGUCUAUAGGACCAGAGUAAUGAUUAAGAGGGACAGUCGGGGGCAUUCGUAUUCCGUUGUCAGAGGUGAAAUUCUUGGAUUUACGGAAGACGAACAUCUGCGAAAGCAUUUGCCAAGGAUGUUUUCAUUUA
rnacentral:rRNA from 1 species